rnacentral:rRNA from 1 species
UUGAGGGCUUGCUCCUCAGUUAGUGGCGCACGGGUGAGUAACGCGUAGAUAAUCUGCCUGAUGAUCUGGGAUAACACUUCGAAGGGGUGCUAAUACCGGAUAAGCCCACGUGGUCUUUGGAUCGUGCGGGAAAAGGGGGGGACCUUCGGGCCUUCUGUCAUCAGAUGAGUCUGCGUACCAUUAGCUAGUUGGUAGGGUAAAAGCCUACCAAGGCUACGAUGGUUAGCUGGUUUGAGAGAAUGAUCAGCCACACUGGAACUGAGACACGGUCCAGACUCCUACGGGAGGCAGCAGUGGGGAAUUUUGCGCAAUGGGCGAAAGCCUGACGCAGCAACGCCGCGUGAGUGAUGAAGGCUUUCGGGUCGUAAAGCUCUGUCGAGGGGAAAGAAGUGUAUUGUGGCUAAUAUCCACGAUACUUGACGGUACCCCUAAAGGAAGCACCGGCUAACUCCGUGCCAGCAGCCGCGGUAAUNCGGGGGGUGCAAGCGUUGUUCGGAAUUAUUGGGCGUAAAGAGCGUGUAGGCGGUUUGUUAAGUCUGAUGUG